rnacentral:rRNA from 1 species
UACGUAGGGUGCGAGCGUUAAUCGGAAUUACUGGGCGUAAAGCGCGUGUAGGCGGCUCGGUAAGUCUGCUGUGAAAGUCCAGGGCUCAACCCUGGGAUGCCGGUGGAUACUGUCGAGCUCGAGUCCGGAAGAGGCGAGUGGAAUUCCUGGUGUAGCGGUGAAAUGCGCAGAUAGUCAGGAGGAACACCAAUGGCGAAGGCAGCUCGCUGGGACGUGACUGACGCUGAGACGCGAAAGCGUGGGGAGCAAACAGG